ACGUGACGUAUGAGUGAUAUUUAUGUGUAUUUGUGAAUGACUUGCACAAAUAGCCAAGAGAAAUGGCCGAGAACAAGAGACGGUUAAAUGCCGACCAGGAUGAGGAUGGGAAAGGGAAUGGUGAAUAAAAAAAUGUUGGGCCAAAUGGAUGAGGAAGGGGAAGGGGAAGGGGAAGAGGAUGCAAAAGGAGCCAACGAGCAGGACGAGAAAAUCCAGUAGCGAAUCUACCCGGUGACCCAGGCGACUAACGGGACAUGCGAAGAUGCAGUGGCAAAGAUACAAGUACAGGCUGACAGGGCUCCUCAUGCACACAGAUACUCAGCUGCAGGAUACACUCACUCACACACACACACACACGCUAAGUCACACAGACACGCUAAGCGAGACACACGGACACACACUUACGGGCCAGCACACACAGACACGAGACUCACACAGACAGAGCACAUAAAUGCAGGCAUUAGUACACUGCGGCAAAUUACGUGGCACAUGUCUGAAAUAAAAAUUAAUAAAAAUU
ensembl:ncRNA lncRNA:CR45709 long non-coding RNA:CR45709